rnacentral:lncRNA from 1 species
UAUAACACGGAUGAACUCAGAUCACAGUCAUUCGCUUAUUCCCUAACUUUUGCCUGGAUUGCCUUUUUUCGGGUUUUCAAUCCAUCGGGAUCCCCAUUUUUGCCUGAGCCGCCCUUUUGGUUUUUCGACUCACCGGGUGUACUCUUUUUUUAUAUCCCUAAUUUUUGCCCGAACCUCUUUAUUCUUUUUUUUUUUGGUUCGUCGGGAGGCCCUUUUUUUUCCUGGACUAUUCUUUUUAUCGUCCAGCGGGUCUAUUUUAUGCGAAGUAUUUUUUAACUGC